CGGGUGAGUAACGCGUGGAUAACCUGCCUCACACUGGGGGAUAACAGUUAGAAAUGACUGCUAAUACCGCAUAAGCGCACAGUACCGCAUGGUACAGUGUGAAAAACUCCGGUGGUGUGAGAUGGAUCCGCGUCUGAUUAGCCAGUUGGCGGGUAACGGCCCACCAAAGCGACGAUCAGUAGCCGACCUGAGAGGGUGACCGGCCACAUUGGGACUGAGACACGGCCCAA
rnacentral:rRNA from 1 species